GGGCGUCUCUAUCUCAUUGCGAGAGGAGGCGCACCUAGAGCGUACACGCUGAUACCCGAAAGAUGGUGAACUAUGCCUGGCCAGGACGAAGCCAGGGGAAACCCUGGUGGAGGUCCGCAGCGAUUCUGACGUGCAAAUCGAUCGUCGGAGCUGGGUUUAGGGGCGAAAGACCAAUCGAACCAUCUAGUAGCUGGUUCCCUCUGAAGUUUCCCUCAGGAUAGCUUGCGCUCGGAUGAAACGAGUCUCAUCCGGUAGAGCGAAUGAUUAGAGGCCUUGGGGUCGAAACGACCUCAACCUAUUCUCAAACUCCAAAUAGAUGAGAACCCCGGCUUGCUUGAAACUUGUUUCUGAAGCCGGGGGCUCGGAUCAGAGUGCCAAGUGGGCCAAUUUU
rnacentral:rRNA from 1 species